UCAUUAGGCACAAGCACUGCAGUUACAUGGCCAAAAUCGAAACUGGAAUCUUCUGUAGAAACCAAUAUAAUGUAACGGGAAUCUGUAAUCGAAGCUCUU